UAGGGAAUCUUCCGCAAUGGGCGAAAGCCUGACGGAGCAACGCCGCGUGAGUGAUGAAGGUCUUCGGAUUGUAAAACUCUGUUAUUAGGGAAGAACAAACGUGUAACUAACUAUGCACGCCUUGACGGCACCUAAUCAGAAAGCCACGGCUAACUACGCGCCAGCAGCUGCGGUAAUACGGAGGUGGCAAGCGUUAUCCGGAAUGAUUUGGCGUAAAGCGCGCGUAGGCGGUUUUUUAAGGCUGACGUGAAAGCCCACGGCUUAACCGUGGAGGGUCGUUGGAUACUGGGAAACUUGAGUGCAGGAGAGGAAAGCGGAAUUCCAAGUGUAGCGGUGAAAUGCGCAGAGAUAUGGAGGAACACCAGUGGCGAAGGCGACUUUCUGGUCUGUAACUGACGCUGAUGUGCGAAAGCGUGGGGAUCAAACAGG
rnacentral:rRNA from 1 species